rnacentral:sRNA from 1 species
AGCUGAGGUAUUGGGAAAGGGGAGUCCAGUUUGUGGACUUAUGUGUGAUGUUGUUCCCUGUGAUCUUGGAAGGAAUCAGUUUUUGGACACUUGCUUCCAACAAAUUGAUGUAUUUCUCUUGUAUUUGCUGAAACCUUUAAAACUGGAGUUUGUUUUAAUAGAUUAGAUGUUACAGAUAUUGGGAGUACUUUUAAGAUGUGAUAUUUUAUUAUUCUGUAAUGGUACGUUUAGCUGAUCCAUUUUGUAACCCCCAUUAAAACAAAAAAAGAAUAUGUUUUAUACCAAUAUACAUGUGUAGUAAAAUACUAAUUUUAUUUGUCAAAAGGUUCAUACUUUGUUUUCCAAGGGAAAAGGCUAAGUUAUUUUUUUCAAUAAAAAUAAAUUAAAAUGAAUAGGCCAGCCAGUGAAUAUAGAUAACAACUGAAUUAAAAUAUGCUUUAUGUUGCUUUUAAAUUAAUCAAUUCAAGAUACCUUGCUGAAAAAGUUUUAACAAUGUUGUUUUAUAAUAUUUGCAACUUUGUCUCUUGUGAUAUACCUGUAUGUCAUUAUUUGUAGUGUAAGUGUCCUUGAUCCAUGUACACAUUGUUGUCUGAUAUCUAAAACCUUUAGUCAUCUAGAAACCAAACCCACCAAUAUAAAGUAUUUGAAUCUGCUAACCACAGUUGUUUUUACCUUAAUAUUUGUAAAAUGUGUAUAGAUAACUUGAUUUAAUGUCUGUAUGUUCAGUGAAUUUAUACUUAUUUGUAGAAGGACGAUGUGCUGGUUUUAAUUAGACUGAAUCUUAUAUUUUGUUUGUUGAUGAAAAGUGUGCUGUUUAAUGACUUGUUAUUAGUGGUUUGAUAUUCAAUGUUUGUUUAAAGCAAUAAAAACAAUUUUAUUUG